rnacentral:rRNA from 1 species
UACGGGGGGGGCAAGCGUUGUUCGGAAUUACUGGGCGUAAAGGGUCAGUAGGCGGCCAACUAAGUCGGAUGUGAAAUCCCCAGGCUUAACCUGGGAACUGCAUCCGAUACUGGAUGGCUUGAAUUCGGGAGAGGGAUGCAGAAUUCCAGGUGUAGCGGUGAAAUGCGCAGAUAUCAGGAGGAACACCGGUGGCGAAGGCGGUUCUCUGGGAAUAUCCUGACGCUGAGGAGCGAAAGUGUGGGGAGCGAACAGG